rnacentral:rRNA from 1 species
GGUUACUGCUAUCGGUGUUCGCCUAAGCCAUGCGAGUCAUAUGUUCUUCGGAACAUGGCGUACUGCUCAGUAACACGUGGAUAACCUGCCCUUGGGUCCGGCAUAACCCCGGGAAACUGGGGAUAAUUCCGGAUAACGCACAUAUGCUGGGAUGCUUUAUGCGUCAAAUGGAUUCGUCCGCCCAAGGAUGGGUCUGCGGCCUAUCAGGUAGUAGUGGGUGUAAUGUACCUACUAGCCUACGACGGGUACGGGUUGUGAGAGCAAGAGCCCGGAGAUGGAUUCUGAGACAUGAAUCCAGGCCCUACGGGGCGCAGCAGGCGCGAAAACUUUACAAUGCGGGAAACCGUGAUAAGGGGACACCGAGUGCCAGCAUCAUAUGCUGGCUGUCCGGGCGUGUAAAAUACACCUGUUAGCAAGGGCCGGGCAAGACCGGUGCCAGCCGCCGCGGUAACACCGGCGGCCCGAGUGGUGAUCGUGAUUAUUGGGUCUAAAGGGUCCGUAGCCGGUUUGGUCAGUCCUCCGGGAAAUCUGACGGCUUAACCGUUAGGCUUUCGGGGGAUACUGCCAGACUUGGAACCGGGAGAGGUAAGAGGUACUACAGGGGUAGGAGUGAAAUCUUGUAAUCCCUGUGGGACCACCUGUGGCGAAGGCGUCUUACCAGAACGGGUUCGACGGUGAGGGACGAAAGCUGGGGGCACGAACCGGAUUAGAUACCCGGGUAGUCCCAGCCGUAAACGAUGCUCGCUAGGUGUCAGGCAUGGCGCGACCGUGUCUGGUGCCGCAGGGAAGCCGUGAAGCGAGCCACCUGGGAAGUACGGCCGCAAGGCUGAAACUUAA